ensembl:lncRNA
AUAUAUAUAUAUAUAUAUAUAUAUAUAUAUAUAUAUAUAUAAAUGUAUGUUUGUACAUCUUUCAGAAUACUGUUUGCCAAGACAUCAUGCUAAAAAUGAAAUCACAGAAUACGCUCUGAUCCGGGCCCCCCAUAAAGGGGGGGUUAUUUCUGAGAGUAAGGGGCGAGGAUCGGUAGGCCUGGGAUCAAACGGACAGCCGCUGUUCCGCCUUAGGAAGACAUCAGAGGAUGGCAGGAGGGGAGAGAGAGCGAGACGGGGACAGGCGCAGUGGAGGCAUCUCAUGCAGCCAGACCCACUGCAGUACAAUCAAUGUCUCCUCUUCCCCGUCCGCUCUCACAGGGUGAAGGGUGGGCUGGGUGGAAUGAUCAGAACAAUUGGGCCUGCCCCCAAAAAAUCGAAUGAAAAACACAAUAUCUAAAGUGCACAGCUAUAGUGGAGCAUGAUGCUUUUGUGACCCAUGGAAUAAACUCACAUCUGCUUUUUCUUCUUUAAGACUGGUGGGGAAUGAUUAAAAAAGGCCUCCCGGCAGGUUAUCAAAUACUAUUUCAUAAUACAUUCAAUUCAGUCCAGCACUGCUACUGAAGAGGCUGGCUAUGCUGGCAGUUAAACCCAUUUAAAUUUUUAACGGUUUUUAGAGCUCUUUAACCCUUUACUCAAACAACAUGGAAAGGGCGAAGACAGAACGGGAAAAUGGCAUACUGAAUGAAUACAUUUUGCUUUCUGGAAUGUUGGUUUGGAAGGCUGCCGUUAAAAUGUUUUCACCAAACAGCAAAUGCCUACAUCAGGAGUUCUAUUUAAAAUGCUAAAAAAUGUUGCUCGGGAAAGCGAGUCUUUAAAACAUGACUAUUUUGCACCGCCCUUCUCUUCAUCCAAGAUUGCAAGCAUGUAAUCCAGUUCUUCUCCUCCUACAAGCUAAUACUUAAUCUAACAAAUGAUGUGGUUACAUUCUCCUAUAUACAUCGUUGGCCAGUCUUUGACAGUUCGGGCCCCUGUCCUUGUGUAAGGUACACACACGCGUCCACCCACAGAACAGUCUCCCUAUUCAGUUCACUGGUUCACUCACUGCACGCAGCCCGUGCUGCGGGUUCCACACGGUGGGGAUGGCACUCUUGACCACAGGGUGGGGCGAGGGCUGCCUGGCGUCACCGUGGACGACGCCCCACACACUGGGCCCCGCCGCAGCACUCCUCUGGGUGCUGCUGGUCAGAGUGUAGGGCGCGGCCUGGGAGGUCGUGGGGAGAUGGGGAACCUGACCCAGGGCUGGGGUAACAGCUUGGGUGGGUGAGGAGGCCGGGGUGGAGGAGGAGGGCGGACGCAUGGGGGCUUGGCCUGAGGCAGACACUGGGGUGUGGCCGGGAGACGCAGGCGAGGACAGGGUUCUGCCGGGUGAGGGGCUUGGAACCCUGACCUGGAUUAAUGGGGAUUGGUGGAACGACGAGUUAAGGACUUUCUUGGAGGCCGGGAUGGGGGAGCAGGAAGGAGAGACUCCAAUGAGACCCAUAGUUGGGCUGGAAGCCUGGCUAGAACCGAUGGAGACUUGGUGAAGCACUUGCUCAGCACCAGAAGGUGAACUACGAGCUGCGGGGCCAGAUGGACUAUAAGUAAAUGUUGUGGAGACCGGAGCCAAACUGGAGUUUGAGGUCGUAAGUGGCUCCGAAGCUGGGGCCACAGAGUGGGUAGAGGUGGGGUUCUGUGAAUGAGGUUGUUCUGAAACGGGAGUGGACACUGGCAUCGAGAUGCCUUGGUGGGCGGGCGAAAUUGGAGAUUGACGAGGGCUUGUGGAUCCUACUAUGGACAUCUGCACAGAGCUGUACGGGACCUUGGCCAUCGAGAGAGGAGACUGCCAUGGCGAAGAGACAUGGAUAGAAUCUAGACAUUGAGCUGCCACUACAGACACCGGUACUGCAGCCCUCAUGGGGUCAGAGACGGGAGAGGAGACCGUCAGGACCAUGGCCUUCUCCAUGAGACUCUGCACUCGGGAGGCUUCCAUCACUUGAUGGCGGUCCUCUGGCGGAGGGGUGGGGCUCAUCUCGAUGGCGCCGUCGGCGCACGGCGCCUCCAGGGGCUCCGUCUUCACAGCGGACCUAAUCUGGCCCUCUAUGAGCCGCUUCAUGUUCUCCUGCUCCGCUGCCCUCUGCAGGGCUGCGUCCACCAGAAGCCGCAGAGUCCCCGCUCCUCCGCCUCCUUCAGCAAACUCUGGGUGUCCAGCCUCAUCAGGGCCUGCACCGCUCCUUCCCGCCCGGGGUAGCCGCCGCCGGUCAGGAUGGCGGUCGCCGUGUUCCCCAGAAGGCUGAGGUCUAAUGUGGGGGCGGAACGGAUCACCGACGGCCGAGGUUGGGCCGGGGCCGAGGGACUCCCCGGGGACAUCGCCGCGCCCAGGGAGGUCGGCGAGCGGCCUUCGGACUUCCAGCCGACUCGGCGGGAGAUGGUGAACUGGGUUGGGUCUUUACCGUCCUUGCGGAGCAGGUCGGGGAGUAGGCGCCGGCGUGCAUUGAUGAACCAAUU